UCUAUUUCAUCAUGAAUUACCGUAAAUCGCUAACAGGGAGAGUACAGAGACAAAGAAAUAGAGAAAUGUGCAACUGAGUAGAACACGAACUGUAAUUAAUACUACAAAUUGAAAUUGAAUUUGAAGUUGAUGAUUACAAUGCCUACAAAAGACGAUUGUGCUAUUUCUACUUACAAAACGGUCUCCGACGUUUCCUUCUGGGUGUUACAAACUUCGUGGCAAACUUAAUAUACCCUGUUCAAAAGCGUGAGGGGCUUGAUAUAUUUAAUGUGACAAUCAUUCUAUCUGCAGUUAUUUAUGAGAGGAGAGUUAUAAAAAUAUUGUAAAAGGCAGCUAUGGUAUAUCGAGCAUACCACACUUUUCUUGCAAUAAUAAAAGUAUUUCUUGGUCAAUAUUACGGUCUGUUAUAUUAAGAAUUAUUUUCUAUAUUUUAGUUCGAUUAGCUAUAAAAUCGCGGUUUUUUAUUAUUUUUAAAUUAUUAUUUAUUAUUCAUUUUCAUAUUUCAUUUUAUCAAUUAUUUAUUCGCGGACAUGAGGUAGUAUUGAAAUGAAUUUUGUUCCGUAAAAUAAAUGGAUUGCAAUUUAUGUUCUGAUUAUUUUGUUGUAAUUAAGAAGCCUUUUGUGAAUCACAGUUAUCAUAUUAUAUAUUACAUUAAUAUUAUAUACAGUAACUUGCGUAUAUUAGACUCAUUUCUACCUAUGCAUAUAUAAAGAAUAAACGUGGUGAUCAGAUAACCAAAAUUACGCGACAACAGACAACCCGUCAGCAGUUAUAACCAAUGUGACGUUGAGUUGUCGACAAUUUAUUACUCAGCCACUUUUGCCUGCAAGUUGCUGAAAAUCUACCAUCGAAAUUGUCAACAACACUCGUGGUCAAAUGUUGCGUACAAUUUACCAACAAGAUCUUCCACACUACAUUUUGGAGCUAGGUUGUCCUCAAAUGGUAAGAAAUUUACCGCCGACUUUCAUACGACUUUGUACUCGACAACUUGACAACAAUUCCCUGCAGUUCUGCAUUGUGCUGUGCCGAGUUUCUGAGCGAAAGAAUAAUUUUGAAACUGCAUUCUUCCUUAAUUACGAUGUGGUAUUUAAUUGUUAUCAAACUGAAGCUCAUAGAUAAAAUGAUCCGAAACUCCUCUCUUUGCCUUCUGAGAGAGCUCAUGAACUUUAAGUGCUGCCAAAAAAAAACCACGAGUUCCUGAGCUACUGAACAGAUGACAAGCAAAACAACGAACUACCACUAAGAAUCCAGCAGAAAUAAAUUGCGAAAUCAGUGGGUUAUUUGUGAGAUCAGAUUUUUUAGUGACUUUUACCUGUGUUUCUAAUCUUUAUUUAAAGAGAUUUAAUAUAGUUUUGAUUUUAAGACAGAGCGGGUACUUUAUCGCAGAGUAUGUUUUGCUUAGCAAUACCAAUUUUCAACGUAUAUACAUAUUUUGGUUAGAAUUCCCAGCAAACGUUAUGUAAACUUUGACCUACGAAUAUAUUAUCGAAAGAUAUUUGUUUAUUCAGUAUAUAAAAACUAAGUAAUGUUCAUG